CCCCGUUCCACCGUGGUGACAAGCACUUCCACUUCCACAACUCCAGCCUCUAGACGCGGAGCGUACUCAACGUGCAGAUAUAAUAUAAGUACAUGACGAUAGGAAGUACUUUGCAUUUUGGUGACAAGAAACAUGGACAAUUGGGGAUAGGUUCAUUAAAGACAUAACUGAGGAGCACUGUCGGUUCAUCUGGCCUGCUGUUUGAUUAUGCAACUUAACAUUUAGUUGCUCAAGGUUUAAAUAUAUCAGG